rnacentral:RNase_P_RNA from 1 species
UAAGUAAGCUAGAUGAUUGCCCUCCUACGAAGCCUUGGCGGAGUAGAGGGGAGGAAAGUCCGAACACCCCCUAAUUUAAAAAGGGGAAAAUGACAGUCGGUAACACCGACCGGGAUAUAAAAGGUGACCAGAAAUUCUAUAGAUUUCUGAACAUCCAUUAAACCCAGGGAAAGUGCCACAGAGACUAUACUAGUUCCGCAUUGCGGGAUGAAAGGUGAAAAGUUCCCGUUAAAACGGGAUCGACUACUGGUUACAGUAGAUUCGUGGUAAACCCUGUCUGGUGCAAGAGCAAGAAUUUCUACAUUUGUAGGAAAGGUAGCUCGCAUGAGCUUGGUGGCAACAUCAGGCCAAGAUAGAUAAUCAUCCUUUGACAGAAUUCGGCUUACAGGCUUGCUUAGGCC